UGGGGAAUCUUCCGCAAUGGACGAAAGUCUGACGGAGCAACGCCGCGUGUACGACGAAGGCCUUCGGGUUGUAAAGUACUGUCUUUAGGGACGAACGGUAUGGGUGUGAAGAAUGCCCAUACAUGACGGUACCUAAGGAGGAAGCCCCGGCUAACUACGUGCCAGCAGCCGCGGUAAUACGUAGGGGGCGAGCGUUGUCCGGAAUCAUUGGGCGUAAAGGGCGCGUAGGCGGAUAUUUAAGUCUGGUGUGAAAGUCUAGGGCUUAACCUUAGGAUUGCACCGGAAACUGGAUAUCUUGAGGACAGGAGAGGAAAGCGGAAUUCCACGUGUAGCGGUGAAAUGCGUAGAUAUGUGGAGGAACACCAGUGGCGAAGGCGGCUUUCUGGACUGUAACUGACGCUGAGGCGCGAAAGCGUGGGGAGCAAACAGG
rnacentral:rRNA from 1 species